rnacentral:rRNA from 1 species
AUUGAACGCUGGCGGCAGGCCUAACACAUGCAAGUAGAACGAGGGGCGGAAGGGUGAGUAAUGUCUGGGAAACUGCCUGCUGGAGGGGGAUAACUACUGAAAACGGUAGCUAAUACCGCAUACCCUCGGAUGUGCCCAGCUGGGAUUAGCUAGUAGGUUGGGUAAAGGCUAACCUAGGAGACGAUCCCUAGCUGGUCUGAGAGGAUGACCAGCCACACGGGAACGGAGACACGGUCCAGACUCCUACGGGAGGCAGCAGUGGGGAAUAGUGCACAAUGGGCGCAAGCCUGAUGCAGCCAUGCCGCGUGUAUGAAGAAGGCCUUCGGGUUGUAAAGUACUUUCAGCGGGGAGGCGUUACCCGCAGAAGAAGCACCGGCUAACUCCGUGCCAGCAGCCGCGGUAAUUC